UACGUAGGUGGCGAGCGUUGUCCGGAUUUACUGGGCGUAAAGGGAGCGUAGGCGGACUUUUAAGUGAGAUGUGAAAUACUCGGGCUCAACUUGAGUGCUGCAUUUCAAACUGGAAGUCUAGAGUGCAGGAGAGGAGAAUGGAAUUCCUAGUGUAGCGGUGAAAUGCGUAGAUAUAUGGAAGAACACCAGUGGCGAAAGCGGCUCUCUGGUCUGUAACUGACGCUGAGGUUCGAAAGCGUGGGUAGCAAACAGG
rnacentral:rRNA from 1 species